CCGCGUGGGCUGAUGGGAGUUGUAGGCGGGGCCGCAGCCGCCUUACGCGACCCGCGAAUGCCGCUUGUUGUGGCUGUGGGGCCGCGCACGGAGCAGGGCGCUGACAAUGGGAGCCCAGGAAAGGCCUCGCAGUGCUGAAAUUUAUCCCUCUGACUACAUUGUACAGCCUCAAGCACCGAUGUAAAGGCGGAGCGAACUUGUCCCUGUUCUAAUUCCAGGCGGGACUCAGCGCUCUAAAUUUCCAAACAGGGCCGGGGCUCGGCCCCCAGAGUUUCCCGCAACAAAUAAAACAAUUUAUUGUCCGAUAAAUUCAGGAAGGCAAUGCCUUGCUAAGUACGCAGUGAGGAAUUUCGCCUUUAUGGAGCACGGAAACGCUCGCUGUGGAAAUGUGCGAGUGCUGAGGGAAAUGUUUCGAAGGAAAUGUUUCGAUCUCUUCCAGGUGUGGCCUCCGACGGAAUUCCCGAGAUUCCAGCGGAAACAGGAGUUGUCCAUCGGGGGAACUGCAAGUCCUGAAGGGGAAAUCUCUAAAACAGGAGUCGAGUUAUGAAUUUUAUCGCUUUCCUAAGCUAUUAUUUUCACCUCGUUUUUCACAUAUUAUUGAGUGAAAGUAGAUUUUCCUCAGAUUUACGUCAUUAAAAUAAACACAGCCCUGUCAGUGAUGGCAGUAUCUGGGAGAUGGUUCUGUCCUCUUCCUCUUCACCCCUUCAGUUCUGGAACCCAUCCAUGUCCCUUCCUCCUGCAGUGUUUAUGGAAAACUUGGAAAAUCCCCCCCUUAUGCUCCUGUUCUGGAGAAAAAAACUGAGAUAUCAAAGUUGUCCCAUGUUUCAGGGAAGAGAGGGAACGUGGUGAUUAUAAAAAGAAAGGAGCAUUUAACUGGGAUCACUGGAUUAUUACUGGCAGGACUCAGGUAGCUAAUUACUGCCAUUAAUUAGUGUGGAGCAGAUAAAGAGGGAUUUUUUUGUUUUACUUUUUAGCCCACCCAAGGAGAACUCAAAAGAGAAUAAUAAAAGCUUGGACAGCACAGCUGCUCCUGAGCAUGGAGGGCUUUUUUGCCAUCACUUUCACAAUCAGCUGUUUUUCUUGGGAAGCUUUUUCACAGGUACUUCAGUUACUCAUUUCUAGGAACUGGAGCCUCAUGUCCAGAAAAAGCUCCAGAGGAGCUGCUGCCCCUCUGCCUGGCAACACAGAUCCCACAAACAAACCCAGGGAGCACCCGGCUUCCCGAGGAAUCCGUGUCCAAAUCCGGUCUGCACGAGCACCUGUGUGGAAAGGCUGUUCUUUAACACCAAGGAGGGAGGAGAAGAAUGCAGUGAUGCCCUGAACAACAGGAAGUAAAUUGAAAUCCAUUAUUUUUGGUGAAGAAAUCAGCAAAUCCCAGCACUGUAUCACACAAGUGGUGGUGUUCCUGAAAGGAGGAAGGCAUGUGUGUGAGAACUGAUGGAUAUGGAGGAAUUGUUUGGGAAUUUGGAAGAUAACCUAUGACAGGAUACAGGUAUGGAGAAUAAAACCCCAAAUAAAUACAAAAUAAAUGCACA